rnacentral:rRNA from 1 species
ACGGAAGGCAGCAGUGAGGAAUAUUGGUCAAUGGACGGAAGUCUGAACCAGCCAAGUCGCGUGAAGGAUGAAGGUAUUAUGUAUUGUAAACUUCUUUAGCAGUGGAGUAAUAAGGGGAUCGUGAUCCCUGAUGCAAGUACACUGAGAAUAAGGAUCGGCUAACUCCGUGCCAGCAGCCGCGGUAAUACGGAGGAUCCGAGCGUUAUCCGGAUUUAUUGGGUUUAAAGGGUGCGCAGGCGGCUUUUUAAGUCAGUGGUUAAAUCGUGACGCUCAACGUCAUCACGCCAUUGAUACUGGAGAGCUUGAUUGCGGUCGAGGUUUGCGGAAUUCGUUGUGUAGCGGUGAAAUGCACAGAUAUGACGAAGAACACCGAUUGCGUAGGCAGCAGACCAGGCCGUAAAUGACGCUCAUGCACGAAAGUGCGGGGAUCGAACAGGAUUAGAUACCCUGGUA